rnacentral:rRNA from 1 species
AUACAGAGGGUGCGAGCGUUAAUCGGAAUUACUGGGCGUAAAGCGCGCGUAGGCGGUUUGAUAAGUCGGAUGUGAAAUCCCCGGGCUCAACCUGGGAAUUGCAUUCGAUACUGUCAGGCUAGGGUGUGGUAGAGGGAAGUGGAAUUUCCGGUGUAGCGGUGAAAUGCGUAGAUAUCGGAAGGAACACCAGUGGCGAAGGCGGCUUCCUGGACCAACACUGACGCUGAGGUGCGAAAGCGUGGGGAGCGAGCAGGAUUAGAAACCCUAGUAGUCC